GCCUCUAGUUCUCAAUCCAAGACUUUUGUUCACGCCAAACUCCCUUCCAAACUUUCCUUCAUAUCCAAUUGUUUCACGCGCCAAUUUUAGCACAUCCCAUCUCCCUUUCACGCAAAAAAAUUCCAAUGCCCAACUUUGUUUCACGUCUCCUUUUCUUUUGCACAUCCUUUAAUUCUUACAUACCCUAACUUCCUCCUUAUUUUUAGGAGACACCAACUCAAAUCCUAAAUCCCCCUCUUUCCUAAUCUAACGCCCCAAACAAUCUUCUAUUUUAUCUCCAUGCCCACUUAAGAAAAAAACCAAUGCCUCUUCUUUCUUUCGCAUUGAUUUCUUCCCUCACAAAAUCAUCCAAUGCCCCACCUCCUCUUUAUUUCAUGACGUCUUGCCUUCUUUUUGGUGCAAAAAUCUCUCCCUUAUCUCCUCAUGCCUCUUUUCUUUUCCUUCCUUGUCCAUCAAAACCUCCCUUAUCUCCUCAUAUACAUUAGGUACCAUGGUGAUCUCAGGUCAAAAGAUCACUUGCACAACUCCCACUAGAGAACCAGCUGACAUAUAAAUAAGACUCCAUCAGAUGUUCUCUCGCAGAUCAAUUCAAUGAACUCAUUCUCUAAUGAGCACCCACAUCCUUGUAUUAGUAUCGCCGCACAAGUGGUUGUGAGAUCAACCACCCUUACUACUGAGCAUACAUAGGAUGUGCCAGUCUUAACGGUACAUUGAUCUCCGACUCAAUGAACCAAUGACCGAGAAUAUUUUAGAUCAGAGCUAUCAAAGAUUUAAGUCUCACUGGCAUGAUCUCAUCACGGUCCUAAAAUCAUUGCCUAGACCUAUGGGGUUCAUUAUAAUCUUAAAACAAUAAUAAGAUGCAGCAUAUAAUAAAUCAAAAUGCCUAUUUAAUUAAUUAACAAUGACAAGUACAUGAGUUUGAAAGAUAAUUUACAGAAAAACAUUCUAUCACAUCUCAUAUGCGAUUGACUUGUAUGGCAUAAUUCUUUCAUAAUGCCCAACUUUAUUACAUGCCUCUUUUUCUUUUGCACAUCUUUUAAUUCUUAUAUACCCUAACUUCCUCCUUAUUUUUAGGAGAUGCCAACUCAAAUCCUAAAUCCCCCUCUUUCCUAAUCUAACGCCCCAAACCAUCUCCUAUUUUAUCUCCACAACAACUUAAGAAAAAAAAUCAAUGCCCCUUCUUUCUUUCACGCUGAUUUCUUUCCUCACAAAAUCAUCCAACGCCCCACCUCUUUAUUUCAUGACGUCUUGCCUUUUUUUAGUCUUGCCUUCUUUUUAGUGCAAAAAUCUCUCUUCCUUAUCUCCUCAUGCCUCUUUUCUUUUCCUUCCUUAUCCAUCAAAACCUCUCAUUUCAUCUUAGCCCUUCAUCCAUUCAAGGUUCUUAAAACAAAACCCUAAUGCCUUCUUUUCUCAUGCUUUCUUUCUUACACGCCACCUAAACUCAACCCACCAAAUCCCAUGUGCUCCUCUUAUUUCUUCACGCCGAUUAGCUUUCUUUCUUUCUUCCUUUCAAAUCCAACGCUAUCUAAUGCUCCUUACUCUUUAAAAAAAAUCUCUACCCUCCAUCCUUAGGAGCCUCAUAUAGCCACUUGAGAAACCCUAGCC
rnacentral:lncRNA from 1 species